CCUACGGGAGGCAGCAGUGGGGAAUUUUGGACAAUGGGCGCAAGCCUGAUCCAGCCAUGCCGCGUGUGGGAAGAAGGCCUUCGGGUUGUAAACCACUUUUGUCAGGGAAGAAACGGCUCUUACUAAUAUUAGGGGCUAAUGACGGUACCUGAAGAAUAAGCACCGGCUAACUACGUGCCAGCAGCCGCGGUAAUACGUAGGGUGCAAGCGUUAAUCGGAAUUACUGGGCGUAAAGCGUGCGCAGGCGGCUUUGCAAGACAGAUGUGAAAUCCCCGGGCUCAACCUGGGAACUGCAUUUGUGACUGCAUGGCUAGAGUACGGUAGAGGGGGAUGGAAUUCCGCGUGUAGCAGUGAAAUGCGUAGAUAUGCGGAGGAACACCGAUGGCGAAGGCAAUCCCCUGGACCUGUACUGACGCUCAUGCACGAAAGCGUGGGGAGCAAACAGGAUUAGAUACCCUGGUAGUCCACGCCCUAAACGAUGUCAACUGGUUGUUGGACGGCUUGCUGUUCAGUAACGAAGCUAACGCGUGAAGUUGACCGCCUGGGGAUACGGCCGCAAGGUUGAAACUUAAAUGAAUUGACGGCUGAGAGNGCGACGACGACGACGAGGGAGAGG
rnacentral:rRNA from 1 species